UGAAACUUCUGAAAGUCCUCUGUUGUUCCUGCUUUUUGUCGUUACUCACGCCAUCAGAUUUCUUUAAAGUGUUGCUGCAAACAAGACGUGAAUAAAGCAACAUCUCCAGGUUGUUCCCCCUUCCAGUUAUAGAGUUAAAUAUGGAGCUGAAGAGGGAAUGGCUGUCUCAGGUGACAAAAGAAAUUAAAAACAGCCCCCUGGCAACCAAUUUUUUAUUUGGAAUAGUCCAGUUGAUCGCUGAGGGACUGGUGGCAAUGGAGUUUGCUUGCCCUUGUGACUCUAGAUACAACAGAAUGUACACUUCAGUAUUUUUCAUCAUUCCACCAAUUAUAGUAUUUUUACUAGCCGUGGGAAUUAGACCAUUCUGUAAACCAUGUAAAUCAAUCUUUGAUUGCCUAAAUAUCACCAUAGUUCCAACAGCGUUAUGGCUGGUAAUAUUGUUGAUUGAUGGCCGUUAUUAUGCCUGUUUAUGGACCAGUUGGACAGGAAAGUAUGAAAUAAUUGAGAAAGCUGCCCCCCAGCAUUGGUGUAAACCAGCCAACUCAUCUCAGGAAUUACUGGCCAAAACCCAGCUAAUGUAUGCUACAUCACAGUUCUAUGGAUUCUUCACAGCACUUGGGGUGACCAUGUUUUAUUUGGUAUGCAUGUAUGGCUCCAGAUAUUCCAGCCUCAACUGCAGCCAAAAUAAUGAAAAUCCAGAAUCUCCAGGAAAUGAAGAGAAUGAGCGUGUGGAACUAAACCAACAACUUUGAAAGAAAUAAACUAUUAUUCUGAUUGCCAACCUGUGUACCUGACCUAGCCUGUUCCUGGACUAUCUGAGCUUGCCUGAUUCCAGUCUGUUUAACCUUGCCUGCCAUUGUACCGAACCGGACCUGCUACCUGACCACCGAGUCUGCCUGACCUUGUCUAGCCUGUAAGCCUGCCCGUGUAUCAAACUUGGAUAUGUCUCCCGACUCUGCGCUCGGAUUCUGUUCUGGAUUUUUGAUUACCUGGUUUUGACUUAGGACUGUUUAUCGACCAUGAGCUCUGUGUUGCCCUGUUCAUAUUACUGCCAGUCUGUAUUCCCGGUUUCAACACCCACAACCUCUUCUUUAAUAAACUGUCUUUAAUCUUAAA